rnacentral:pre_miRNA from 1 species
AAAUUGCAGGUUCGUGCGUGAAUCUAACGAAAGUUUCUCGUUCUCUCCAUUCCACUUCUGCGUUAGAUUCACGCACAAACUUGUCAUUU